rnacentral:rRNA from 1 species
UACAGAGGGUGCGAGCGUUAAUCGGAAUUACUGGGCGUAAAGCGUGCGUAGACGGCUAUCUAAGUCGGGUGUGAAAGCCCCGGGCUCAACCUGGGAAUUGCAUUCGAGACUGAAUAGCUAGGGUGCGGUAGAGGGAAGCGGAAUUUCCGGUGUAGCGGUGAAAUGCGUAGAUAUCGGAAGGAACAUCAGUGGCGAAAGCGGCUUCCUGGACCAGCACCGACGUUCAGGCACGAAAGCGUGGGGAGCAAAGCAGG